rnacentral:lncRNA from 1 species
UAAGAUUUUCUUUCAGGUUCCGCAAUAGGUGUUUCGAAUUUUACUAAAUUUUCUUGAUUGGGUUUUGAACUUUCAGCUUCUAAAUCAGCACUUGAUUGUUUAGUCUGGAAUUCAGAAUAUGUUGGUCUAAAUUCAGAAAAUGAACUUCUCGAAUGGUAUGAACUUAUCCUGGGUGGAAUAGGUUCUUUAUAUGAUCCGAAUUGUAAUAAUAUUUUACCAUCUCGUUGUUCAAUUAUUUUUUGAAUAUUUCUUUGUUCAAAAUUUCUAAGGGGUCGAGAAUCGCUUAUUUUCCAUUGUUCUGGGAUAGUAAUUUCAUUCCAAUUUAGUUGCUUAGGUGCAUAAGUAGAUACGGGUGUAUCUUUGCUAUGUACAUAUAGUAUAGUUGUUUCUCCUUUAUCAUC